GGUUGUAGCUCAGUGGUAGAGCACUUGCCUAGCAGGUGCAAGGCCCUGGGUUUGAUCCUCAGCACCA
rnacentral:tRNA from 1 species